GUGCCUCGACUCGCUCCAACCCAUGUGACGUUACCAAACUGUUGCCUCGGCGGGGUCACGCCCCGGGUGCGUCGCAGCCCCGGAACCAGGCGCCCGCCGGAGGAACCAACCAAACUCUUUCUGUAGUCCCCUCGCGGACGUAUUUCUUACAGCUCUGAGCAAAAAUUCAAAAUGAAUCAAAACUUUCAACAACGGAUCUCUUGGUUCUGGCAUCGAUGAAGAACGCAGCGAAAUGCGAUAAGUAAUGUGAAUUGCAGAAUUCAGUGAAUCAUCGAAUCUUUGAACGCACAUUGCGCCCGCCAGUAUUCUGGCGGGCAUGCCUGUCCGAGCGUCAUUUCAACCCUCGAACCCCUCCGGGGGAUCGGCGUUGGGGAUCGGGACCCCUCACACGGGUGCCGGCCCCGAAAUACAGUGGCGGUCUCGCCGCAGCCUCUCCUGCGCAGUAGUUUGCACAACUCGCACCGGGAGCGCGGCGCGUCCACGUCCGUAAAACACCCAACUUUCUGAAAUGUUGACCUCGGAUCAGGUAGGAAUACCCGCUGAACUUAAGCAUAUCAAUAGGCCGGAGGAA
rnacentral:rRNA from 1 species